UACAGAGGGUGCGAGCGUUAAUCGGAAUUACUGGGCGUAAAGCGUGCGUAGACGGUAGCGUAAGUCAGAUGUGAAAGCCCCGGGCUCAACCCGGGAGGGUCGUGGCAAACCGGCGGGCUUGAGGCCGGUAGAGGUGGGUGGAACUCCUGGUGGAGUGGUGAAAUGCGUAGAGAUCAGGAAGAACACCCGUGGCGAAGGCGGCCCACUGGGCCGGUACUGACGCUGAGGCGCGAAGGCGUGGGGAGCGAACGGG
rnacentral:rRNA from 1 species